CUCAUUGACAGCCGCUAGAGGCGCUUCCGCGCUUCUCAUUGUGAUUUUCAUAGUGAGAAGUCGCCAGCGUCCAUAGGAAAGCAUUGAGAAUGCUUUCCUAUGGACUGACUGAAUGCGUGCGCGGCUCUUGCCGCACAUGCGCAUUCAGCAGAUGACGUCGGAAGGAGGAGGAGAGUCCCCAGCGCUGAGGGAGCCCGGCGCUGGAGAAAGGUAAGGGAUUAACCCCUUUCUCCCCCUAAAGCGCGGCGCGAGGGGGGCCAUGAGGGUGGG